rnacentral:misc_RNA from 1 species
GAUGAAGAACGCAGCGAAAUGCGAUAAGUAAUGUGAAUUGCAGAAUUCAGUGAAUCAUCGAAUCUUUGAACGCACAUUGCGCCCGCCAGUAUUCUGGCGGGCAUGUCUGUCCGAGCGUCAUUUCAACCAUCAAGCCCCGGGCUUGUGUUGGGGACCUGCGUCCGACGCAGGCCCUGAAAACCAGUGGCGGGCUCGCUGUCCACACCGAGCGUAGUAACUAACCUCGCUAUGGAGUGGCGCGGGCGCCUGCCGUAAAACCCCCAAUUUCACAAGGUUGACCUCGGAUCAGGUAGGAAUACCCGCUGAACUUAAGCAUAUCAAUAAGCGGAGGA